AGAGUUUGAUCAUGGCUCAGAAUGAACGCUGCGGCGUGCUUAACACAUGCAAGUCGAACGAGAAAGGGAUUGCUUGCAAUCCUGAGUAGAGUGGCGCACGGGUGAGUAACACGUAGAUAAUCUACCUUUGAGCCCGGGAUAACUAAUCGAAAGGUUAGCUAAUACCGGAUGAAGUUAAUCGGCACAGGUUGAUUGAUGAAAGACUGCCUAUCCAUGGAAGCAGUUGUUUGGAGAUGAGUUUGCGGACCAUUAGCUUGUUGGUGGGGUAAAGGCCUACCAAGGCGAUGAUGGUUAGCUGGUCUGAGAGGAUGAUCAGCCACACUGGAACUGAAACACGGUCCAGACUCCUACGGGAGGCAGCAGUGAGGAAUUUUGCGCAAUGGGGGCNNCCCUGACGCAGCAACGCCGCGUGAGUGAAGAAGGCCUUUGGGUCGUAAAGCUCUGUCANCCGGGAAGAAGUUAUCGUUAUCUAAUAGGUGGCAGUAUUNCC
rnacentral:rRNA from 1 species